rnacentral:rRNA from 1 species
CCCUUAGAUGUUCUGGGCCGCACGCGUGCUACACUGAGUGGAUCAGCGGGUCAGGUUGCGCGAAAGUGUUUCCUAAUCUUGAAAUCCGCUCGUGAUGGGGAUUGACGGUUGCAAUUUUCCGUCAUGAACGAGGAAUACCUUGUAAGCGCGGGUCAUCAUCCCGCGCUGAAUACGUCCCUGCCCUUUGUACACACCGCCCGUCGCUCCUACCGAUUGAGUGGUCCGGUGAGGCUUUGGGAUCUGAGCAAAGAGAGCGUUUCGCUCGUUUUGCCCGGAAAACUCAGUCGAACCUUAUCAUCUAGAGGAAGGAGAAGUCGUAACA